rnacentral:rRNA from 1 species
UAAAGAGUUUGAUCCUGGCUCAGAUUGAACGCUGGCGGCAUGCCUUACACAUGCAAGUCGAACGGCAGCGCGGACUUCGGUCUGGCGGCGAGUGGCGAACGGGUGAGUAAUAUAUCGGAACGUACCCAGGAGUGGGGGAUAACGUAGCGAAAGUUACGCUAAUACCGCAUACGUCCCAAGGGAGAAAGUGGGGGAUCGCAAGACCUCAUGCUCAUGGAGCGGCCGAUAUCUGAUUAGCUAGUUGGUGGGGUAAAAGCCUAGCCAAGGAUGUUUUCAUUAAUCCAAGGCGACGAUCAGUAGCUGGUCUGAGAGGACGACCAGCCACACUGGAACUGAGACACGGUCCAGACUCCUACAGUCUUAACCAUAAACUAUGCCGACUAGGGAGGCAGCAGUGGGGAAUUUUGGACAAUGGGGGCAACCCUGAUCCAGCAAUUCAGCCGCGUGAGUGAAGAAGGCCUUCGGGUUGUAAAGCUGAAACUUUUGUCAGGGAAGAAAAGGGAGUGGCUAAUAUCUGCUCCUCAUGACGGUACCUGAAGAAUAAGCACCGGCUAACUACGUGCCAGCAGCCGCGGUAAUACGUAGGGUGCAAGCGUUAAUCGGAAUUACUGGGCGUAAAGCUCUUUCUUGAGUGCGCAGGCGGUUUUGUAAGACUGUCCUUAGUUGGUGAAAUCCCCGGUCUGCUUAACCUGGGAAUGGCGAUGGUGACUGCAACCGGCUAGAGAGCCCGUAUUGCUUUGGCAGUACGCCGGCUUCUUAGAGGGGCUAUCGGCUCAAGCCGGUAGAAUUCCACGUCAGUAGCAGGUGUGAAAUGCCCGUAGAUAUGUGGAGGAACACGCGCGCUACGAUGGCGAAGGCAGCGAGUACCCCCUGGGUCAAAAGGCCCGGCUGACGCUCAUGCACGAAAGCGUGGGGAGCAAACAGGAUUAGAUACCCUGGUAGUCCACGCCCUAAACGAUGUCUACUAGUUGUCGGGUCUUAAGUUGACUUGGUAACGCAGCUAACGCGUGAAGUAGACCGCCUGGGGAGUACGGUCGCAACUACCGAUUAAAACUCAAAGGAAUUGACGGGGACCCGCACAAGCGGUGGAUGAUGUGGAUUAAUUCGAUGCAGACGCGAAAAACCUUACCUACCCUUGACAUGUAACCGCCCGUCGCUACUACCGAUGGAAUCCUCGAGAGAUUGAGGAGUCCGGACUGGCCCGAAAGGGUGGGCAACCAUUACACAGGUGCUGCAUGGCUGUCCAAACUCGGUCAGCUCGUGUCGUGAGAUGUUGGGUUAAGUCCCGCAACGAGCGCAACCCUUGUCAUUAGUUGCUACGAAAGGGCACUCUAAUGAGACUGCCGGUGACAAACCGGAGGAAGGUGGGGAUGACGUCAAGUCCUCAUGGCCCUUAUGGGUAGGGCUUCACACGUCAUACAAUGGUACAUACAGAGGGCCGCCAACCCGCGAGGGGGAGCUAAUCCCAGAAAGUGUAUCGUAGUCCGGAUUGUAGUCUGCAACUCGACUACAUGAAGUUGGAAUCGCUAGUAAUCGCGGAUCAGCAUGUCGCGGUGAAUACGUUCCCGGGUCUUGUACACACCGCCCG